rnacentral:lncRNA from 10 species
UCUAAAACUAUUCGUCAGUCUAUAAAUGUGCACAAUUGCCAGUAAACCAGGAAUAAAUGUGUGAAGAGACUGAAACUGGGAGGAACUAAGUAACUGGACAAAGUGCACACAGAUGAUAAGUGGCAGAAAAAUCCCUCAUUUGACCAGUAUCAUCAGAAUCCUGAGUCCAUGUUUUUCAUCCCGAUGGCCAAUCUUACAGACUUUACAAUUUUGCCGAAAGCUUACUCUGGGAGAUUUUGCUCAAAUCUGAACAUUUGAAAGAGAAACAUUUCUACUUAUUAGAGGUGCAAAUUGAGGACUCCCACCCUGAGUUGUUAUAAAGCUAGAUGGCACAGGGUUCACGGUCCCCACCCAGCCCCUGGACAAUUGGACCUUUUGCCUUCUCUUCCAUCAACCCAUCCCCUGAUAUGUGCUCCCAUUGUCAAUCUUGACCUCACAGAAAUAGGAGUCGCCUUGGGAGGAAAAUGUGGUUGCCUGUCAACAGUGAUGCUGUAAAACUCUGGGAAAUUUCUCUGCAAAAGAGAGGCAAGAAUUUUGAAAUAAUAAAAAUAAAAAAGAGUGAGAAAAUGCAUUAUUCAUUUGGGAACAGGGAAUGUUAUUUCAUCUCAGUAUCUUAAGUGCCCUGGCUUUUAGAAAUUGCAGAACCUUAAAUCAGGCAAUACUUCGUUGUGGGUGGGUUAUUUUUGCAAAAUACAUGACUGCUGAGCAGAAAUACUUUGUGCUAUGGGGCAUGGGGGUCCAACCUCAUUCCUCAGCCCUUUGCAAAUUGUAUCCAAAGGAGAUACAAUUUGCAGGCAAAGAAAUUCACCCACUGACCUCAUGAUACAUUUCUCCAAGGGCAGGGGACUAAAAUAUUAUCUAAGAUUUUUCCACACUGCUUGUGUGCUUCCUGCAUUCUUACUAACAGCAGACAUUGCCACCUUCCAAUAUCUGGAAUUCAUGUUUAUAUAAAUAGUACCCUGCUUUUGUAAACUGAUUUAUAAUGUGAAAGAUGCUUUCUUAAAUAAAUUGUCUCAUUUGAUUUUUUAAACUACCCGGAAAACAAAACAAAACAAAACAAAACAAAAAACAAAAAAAACAAAACUCAGGUUCAGGGAGAUUAGCUAACUUUCCUGUAACCACAGAGGAUAAAUUCUUCAUAUUCUUUUAAAAGCAUCAUUUUACAUUUUGGACCCUCUGAAUGUAGGUGACUUGGGACAAAACUGUGAUCUUAAUUUGUAUCCAGGUCUAGGCAAGAGUAUCACGGGCUACUAGCAGUGUGGAGGGGAUUAUGUCAGGAUGCUAAAAUCACAUUUAGAGGGAAGAAAAAGUACCUUCUGCAGAGCUUCCCCAAGGGCUUAGGUUCCACAGAGCACACUGUAGGAGACUAGCUCAGUGGAAAGAACACUGGGCCAGGAAUCCAAAGGACUCCGUGACAGCCCUACUAUCUAUCACCAGCAACAUUAGUUGAGUAAAUGGAGCAACAACUCUGGUCUCAGAUUUCCAAAUUGAGAUGGGAGAGCAGGCAACUCAGUAACGACAAGUAUAAAAGUCGAGAUGCUGUGGCCAAAAGGAGGAGGCCGACUUCCAAGUAAUAUAACACUACUUCAAGUAACGGAUCAAAAGCACAUAGACGUUAUAUGGUCGAUCGGGGCCUUGUACCCAGAUCUUUUGACUUCACAGUGAGUGGUCUUUCCAUAUUAUUUACAGGAAGCACAGUAUUAUUGUUAGCUA